rnacentral:rRNA from 1 species
GGGGAAUCUUGGACAAUGGGGGCAACCCUGAUCCAGCGACGCCGCGUGGGUGAUGAAGGCCUUCGGGUUGUAAAGCCCUUUCGACGGGGACGAUGAUGACGGUACCCGGCGAAGAAGCACCGGCUAACUCCGUGCCAGCAGCCGCGGUAAGACGGAGGGUGCUAGCGUUGUUCGGAAUCACUGGGCGUAAAGGGCGCGUAGGCGGCCCAUGCCGUCGGCUCGUGAAAGCCCAGGGCUCAACUCCGGAGGUGCAUCCGAAACUCGAAGGCUGGAGGCCGGAAGAGGAGGGUGGAAUACCCAGUGUAGAGGUGAAAUUCGUAGAUAUUGGGUGGAACACCGGUGGCGAAAGCGGCUCUCUGGUCCGGUCCUGACGCUGAGGCGCGAAAGCGUGGGGAGCGAA